GUAUUCUUUCAGCAAUAAACACAUUAAAAUUUGGAACACCAAAGAGAAGAUGAGUAUGACCCCUGUGUGUGGAUGACACACACAUUUAUUUAGCAUUCCAUAUUUUU